GGACCAACUGCAGUCGAGAUUCCUACGGGAGGCAGCAGCAGGGAAUAUUGUGCAAUGAACGAAAGUUUGACACAGCGACACCGCGUGUGGGAUGACGGAUCUAGGUUUGUAAACCACUUUCAGGAGGGAAGAAAAUGACGGUACCUCCACAAGAAGCCCCGGCCAACUACGUGCCAGCAGCCGCGGUAAUACGUAGGGGGCGAGCGUUGUCCGGAUUUAUUGGGCGUAAAGAGCUCGUAGGCGGUUCAACAAGUCGGUCGUGAAAGUUCAGGGCUCAACCCUGAAAUGUCGAUCGAUACUGUUGUGACUAGGAUACGGUAGAGGUGAGUGGAAUUCCGAGUGUAGCGGUGAAAUGCGUAGAUAUUCGGAGGAACACCAAUUGCGAAGGCAGCUCACUGGACCGCUAUCGACGCUGAGGAGCGAAAGCUAGGGGAGCAAACAGGAUUAGAUACCCUGGUAGUCCUAGCUGUAAACGAUGGAUACUAGACGUAGGAACUGGAUUGACGGUUUCUGUGUCGUAGCUAACGCGUUAAGUAUCCCGCCUGGGGAGUACGGUCGCAAGACUAAAACUCAAAGGAAUUGACGG
rnacentral:rRNA from 1 species